rnacentral:rRNA from 1 species
GGUCAGGACGAACGCUGGCGGCGUGCCUAACACAUGCAAGUCGAACGGAGUCAGAAAGCUUGCGUUUUGACUUAGUGGCGGACGGGUGAGUAACGCGUGAGUAACCUGCCUCUGAGAGGGGAAUAACGUUCUGAAAAGAACGCUAAUACCGCAUAACGUAUCGAAGCCGCAUGACUUUGAUACCAAAGAUUUUAUCGCUCGGAGAUGGACUCGCGUCCGAUUAGUUAGUUGGUGAGGUAACGGCUCACCAAGACCGCGAUCGGUAGCCGGACUGAGAGGUUGAUCGGCCACAUUGGGACUGAGACACGGCCCAGACUCCUACGGGAGGCAGCAGUGGGGGAUAUUGCGCAAUGGGGGCAACCCUUGACGCAGCAACGCCGCGUGAAGGAUGAAGGUUUUCGGAUUGUAAACUUCUUUUAUCAGGGACGAAGCUUGACGGUACCUGAUGAAUAAGCUCCGGCUAACUACGUGCCAGCCGCUGC